rnacentral:rRNA from 1 species
AUUGAACGCUGGCGGCAGGCCUAACACAUUCAAGUCGAGCGGCAGCGGAAGGGAGCUUGCUUCCUUGCCGGCGAGCGGCGCACGGGUGAGGAAGGUAUGGGGCUCUGGCCGAAGGCGGGGGAUAACCACUGGCAACGGGGGCUAAUACCGCAUAAUCUCUAAGGAGCAAAGUGGGGGACCGAGAGGCCGCACCCCUUCGGAUGAACCCAUAUGAGAUUAGCUAGUAGGUGGGGUAAAGGCUCACCUAGGCGACGAUCACUAGCGGGUCCGAGAGGAUGAUCAGCCACCCUGGGACUGAGACACGGCGCAGACUCCUACGGGAGGCAGCAGUGGGGAAUAUUGCACAAUGGGCGAAAGCCUGAUGCAGCCAUGCCGCGUGUAUGAAGAAGGCCUUCGGGUUGUAAAGUACUUUCAGUCGUGAGGAAGUAAGUAGGGCGAAUAGCCUUAUUUAUUGACGUUAGCGACAGAAGAAGCACCGGCUAACUCCGUGCCAGCCGCCGCAGUAAAAC